AUGUGUACAUGGGCCGGCCCACCAUCAUCGGCGCGUGGGCGCCAGGGAGAUUCCCUGGCGCCUGAAGCGUCGAAUAGGAUCUCCCCGAGAGGACAACCCCCAAAGUUGAUCAGUUAUUUGUUUAAUGAUGAUUGCCUCUUGUUUUGUAAAACAUUAAGCAAUGAAGUAUCAAAUCUCAACGGUGCCUUGUCAAGAUAUUGUAAUGCUUCGGGGCUCAAUAACAACAAGUCAUCAAUUUUCUUUGGGAAAGGUUGUCUGGCGGCUAUAAGGGAGAAUGUCAAGCAAAUUCUUAAGGUAAACAAUGAAUCUAUUAAGGAUAAAUAUUUAGGGCUGCCUGCCGAUGUUGGACGAUCAAAGAACGGGACCUUCGCUUAUUUGAAGGAUAGAGUUUGGAAACGGCUACAGGGGUGGAUGGAGAUGUUUUUGUCCAGUGGAGGAAAAGAAAUUCUGAUCAAAUCAGUAGUGCAGGCUAUUCCCACAUAUUCCAUGGCAUUGUUCAAAUUACCCUAA
rnacentral:rRNA from 1 species